rnacentral:snRNA from 1 species
GAGCAGCCGAGUAAAAUUCUGUCUCCUCAUUGAUCACUGGAGUAGUCUUGGCUGAUAUGGCUGGCUAGGCGAGUUUUUCAUCUCUCCUCUCCUCACAACAUCUUUCUGCAAACCUCACAAAGCUGCACACUGAGACGAGGAGUACCAUGCUCUGUGUCAGGCACAGUAGUGUCUCCUUGUAGGUCCUCCAAACAAGACUAAAGUCCGUGUGUAGAACACAGAGCAGCCAAGCCUCCAAGUCUUGAGACAUGUCCAAAUGAAGGUCUGUAUACUGCGAUUUGCCUUUCAUU